rnacentral:lncRNA from 1 species
UACUACUUAGACAGAGAAGCUGGGCGUGCACCUGGAGAUGCUGUUCAUAAGAUCUACCCAAGUGCAUAUAUAAAGGUCUUUGAUUUGCGUCAGUGUCAUCGACAGAUGCAGCAGCAGGCGGCUACUGCACAAGCUGCAGCAGCUGCCCAGGCAGCAGCCGUGGCAGGAAACAUCCCUGGCCCAGGAUCAGUAGGUGGAAUAGCUCCAGCUAUCAGUAAGUAUGCUUUUCAUUCUUUUUUAAAGGUAUAAUAGUUGAUAUUUUUAUCUUGAUUUACUCAGUUGAUUAGUUUCUUUGAGCAGUAAUAGAAAUUAAAGUUUUUUUUUACUGGGAUGAUGACAUUUUUGAAUUGGUAAAAUCUGUUCUUCUGUAAUAGUUGCUUUUUGCCUAUGACCCUGUUUGCAUUCUUUUUGUAUCAAAAAUGGAGUAUGGGAUGAAGGAGAAAGGGGAUGAUUAUUAUAUUAUACUGUUCUAUCUCCUCCUUUUUUGUUGAUGCUUAUUAUAAUUCUGCCUCACCAGCCAGGGUGGGUUGUAAUCACUGAAGUGCUUGGCUUUAUUCUAGUAAGGAAA